AGCCGCCAUUCCUUCCAGCCUCUUCUCCCAGUGCCUUCCUUCCUCCCAUCUGGCUGGGCGCAUCUCGGCGUUCCGGAACGCGACCACGACCGAGGGCUGACCCGUCGAGGCAUCCUUAUGCUCGUUGACCUGUCGGGCACUCCUCCUUUUCUGUCCAUCGUGCCGGCCUCCAGGAGGAAGACUUCUCCGGCGAGCCCGAGGUAUAGGAGCUCCGAGGCCGUAGCAAGGCAAGGACGGCCGCCAUGAAGUGCAGACCGUCCCCAACAACCGGUGGUGCCGCGCUGGGCCACCGGAGGUGUGGGGCUGCGUCGACCCGGCGCCGAGGAGAUGUGUUGACCCGUCGCGGAGAUCUGUGUGGUGGUGGCCCCUCCCAUCGAGGGUUCGCUGCGAUGGGCUCCUAUUCCCGAAUGGCGGCGGUCAGCGUUUUCCGCACCCACCGUGCGUGCUGGAGGUCAAGGGCAUAGGGCAGUGACAUGCAUGCUCACCAUCCUCAUCCACCAUUGCUUUUUUUAGUGUACACGGACGGUGGGGGUACCAUCCAGAUGGAGUGCGCAAGAUGUCCCGCGAGCGCUGGCCGAUCUCCAGCGAGUGCUUUAUGAGUAAUUUGUAAAUUUUAUUUUGGGGCGCAUUUUUCUUUUGGUGUCAUUUGUCUUUUUGUCAAUUGUAUCUAUUUUUCUUUUUUGACGGGAAUUGUAUUUUUGCUGAAUGAUAGUAUUAUAAAAAUAUUAAUAAAAUAACUUAUGUGUCGAAAUUUUUAA